rnacentral:misc_RNA from 1 species
AUCGACACUUUGAACGCACAUUGCAGGCCUGAGCUCGUAUCAGGCCUACCCUUGUCUCAGGGUCGGUUGAACACUAUCCAUCAGGAUUCGCUCCUGCUCUGUCUACUCGGCUAGUGGCUUGCCACUGGAUCCGGUAGGCUAAAGUGUGUCCGGCCAGCUUCGCUCGCCUCACAACUCUAGGGAGAAACAAAUCCCGGGUUGUGUGAGCGGACUGGGUUUCGGAUCGCGUGUGGCUUUGCAGACUCUUUGGCUAGCCGCGCACUCCAAUCCUUUCGACCUGAGCUCAAGGGAGGC